rnacentral:rRNA from 1 species
AAAUUGAAGAGUUUGAUCAUGGCUCAGAUUGAACGCUGGCGGCAGGCCUAACACAUGCAAGUCGAGCGGAAACGAGUUAUCUGAACCUUCGGGGAACGAUAACGGCGUCGAGCGGCGGACGGGUGAGUAAUGCCUAGGAAAUUGCCCUGAUGUGGGGGAUAACCAUUGGAAACGAUGGCUAAUACCGCAUAACGCCUACGGGCCAAAGAGGGGGACCUUCGGGCCU